GAUGAACGCUGGCGGCGUGCUUAACACAUGCCAGUCGAACGGAAAGGCUCCUGCUUGCAGGGGUACUCGAGUGGCGAACGGGUGAGUAACACGUGGGUGAUCUGCCCUGCACUUCGGGAUAAGCCUGGGAAACUGGGUCUAAUACCGGAUAGGACCACAUUUUGGAUGGUGUGGUGGAAAGUUUUUCGGUGUGGGAUGAGCUCGCGGCCUAUCAGCUUGUUGGUGGGGUAAUGGCCUACCAAGGCGUCGACGGGUAGCCGGCCUGAGAGGGUGUACGGCCACAUUGGGACUGAGAUAGGGCCAAGACUCAUACGGGAGGAAGGAGUGGGGAAUAUUGCACAAUGGGCGGAAGCCUGAUGCAGCGACGCCGCGUGGGGGAUGACGGCCUUCGGGUUGUAAACUCCUUUCGCUAGGGACGAAGCGCAAGUGACGGUACCUGGAGAAGAAGCACCGGCUAACUACGUG
rnacentral:rRNA from 1 species